UACGUAGGGUGCGAGCGUUGUCCGGAAUUACUGGGCGUAAAGAGCUCGUAGGUGGUUUGUCGCGUUGUCCGUGAAAACUCACAACUCAAUUGUGGGCGUGCGGGCGAUACGGGCAGACUGGAGUACUGCAGGGGAGACUGGAAUUCCUGGUGUAGCGGUGGAAUGCGCAGAUAUCAGGAGGAACACCGGUGGCGAAGCGGGUCUCUGGGCAGUAACUGACGCUGAGGAGCGAAGCGUGGGGAGCGAACAGG
rnacentral:rRNA from 1 species